rnacentral:tRNA from 1 species
GUUUCCACAGUGUAGCGGUUAUCACGUUUGCCUCACACUCAAAAGGUCCCUGGUUUGAUCCCAGAUGGAAACA